GUGGGGAAUCUUGCGCAAUGGGCGAAAGCCUGACGCAGCAACGCCGCGUGUGUGAUGAAGGUCUUCGGAUCGUAAAGCACUGUCGCGAGGGACGAAUAAGGGGCGGGCUAACAUCCCGUUCCGAUGACGGUACCUCGAGAGGAAGCACCGGCUAACUCUGUGCCAGCAGCCGCGGUAAUACAGAGGGUGCAAGCGUUGUUCGGAAUUAUUGGGCGUAAAGCGCGUGUAGGCGGCCUUGCAAGUUGGGUGUGAAAGCCCUCGGCUUAACCGAGGAAGUGCGCCCAAAACUACGAGGCUUGAGUGCCGGAGAGGGUGGCGGAAUUCCCGGUGUAGAGGUGAAAUUCGUAGAUAUCGGGAGGAACACCAGCGGCGAAGGCGGCCACCUGGACGGUAACUGACGCUGAGACGCGAAAGCGUGGGGAGCAAACAGGAUUAGAUACCCUUGUAGUCC
rnacentral:rRNA from 1 species